UCAGAUCUAUGACGCUGUAUCUUCAGGUCCUAUGAGGCUGUAUCUUCAGGUCCUAUGAGGCUGUAUCUUCAGGUCCUAUGAGGCUGUAUCUUCAGGUCCUAUGAGGCCGUAUCUUCAGGUCCUAUGAGGCUGUAUCUUCAGGUCCUAUGAGGCCGUAUCUUCAGGUCCUAUGAGGCUGUAUCUUCAGGUCCUAUGAGGCUGUAUCUUCAGGUCCUAUGAGGCUGUAUCUUCAGGUCCUAUGAGGCCGUAUCUUCAGGUCCUAUGAGGCCGUAUCUUCAGGUCCUAUGAGGCUGUAUCUUCAGGUCCUAUGAGGCUGUAUCUUCAGGUCCUAUGAGGCUGUAUCUUCAGGUCCUAUGAGGCUGUAUCUUCAGGUCCUAUGAGGCCGUAUCUUCAGGUCCUAUGACGCUGUAUCUUCAGGUCCUAUAAUUCAGUAUCUUCAGAUCUAUCAGGCCGUAUCUUCAGGUCCUAUGAGGUUGUAUCUUCAGCAGCCUUUAGCUCCAAUGACCUGCUGUAGAUGGAGGUAUCGUCUCUAACAAGCGUCAGGCAGCUCCUUGGGAAUUUUACUCCAUUCCUCGUGGGUGAUGGUCUCCAUCUCAGCGAUGUUCUCAGGUCUACGUGCUGCAGCAGCUUUCUUCAGAUCCACCUCAGGUUCUUCAUUGGGUUUCAGUCUGGAGGUAGUGAUGUCCACUCUAGAACCUUCCAUGCUUUCUUCUCUAACCAGUCUUUGUUGGUUCUGAUGUGUGUUUGGGGUCGUUGUCUUCCUGGAACGUCCAAUUACGUCCAAGCUUCAACUUCUUCAGGGACUGAGGGACGUUCUUGUCCAGAACAUCCUGGUACUUCCUGAAUCCAUGGUGCCUUCAACACGUUGGAGAUUCCUGGUUCCAUCAGAAGCAGAACACCCCCACAGCAUCCCAGAUCCACCACCAUGCUUCACAGCAGGCAGGGUGUUCUUCUCCUCGUGGGCCUCGUUCUUCCUCCCAAACGUUCCUCUGGUCCAUAGGACCAAAGAGCUCUAGUUUGGUCUCAUCAGUCCAUACAAAGGUCUCCCAGAACUUCUGUGGCUUAGAUAGGUUGGUUCUAGCAGACUGGAGGCCAUUGUUCUUAUGGUGUGUCUUCAGAAGCUGUGUCCAUCUAGGAGAUCUGGCAUAAAGUCCUUCAGCAUGGAGUGUGUCCACAGAAACAUCAGUUCCUCU